CGUCCAGACUCCUACGGGAGGCAGCAGUGGGGAAUAUUGCACAAUGGGCGAAAGCCUGAUGCAGCUAUACCGCGUGUAUGAAGAAGGCCUUAGGGUUGUAAAGUACUUUCGUUGGGGAGGAAAAAUAAAUAGAUAAUACCUGUUUAUCGUGACGUUACCCAAAAAAGAAGCACCGGCUAACUCCGUGCCAGCAGCCGCGGUAAUACGGAGGGUGCAAGCGUUAAUCAGAAUUACUGGGCGUAAAGAGCUCGUAGGCGGUUUUUUAAGUCAGAUGUGAAAUCCCUGGGCUUAACCUAGGAACUGCAUUUGAAACUAAAAGACUAGAGUAUCGUAGAGGGAGGUAGAAUUCUAGGUGUAGCGGUGAAAUGCGUAGAUAUCUGGAGGAAUACCUGUGGCGAAAGCGGCCUCCUAAAUGAAUACUGACGCUGAGGUGCGAAAGCAUGGGGAGCAAACAGGAUUAGAUACCCUGGUAGUCCAUGCCGUAAACGAUGUCGACUUGGAGGUUGUUUCCUUGAGAAGUGACUUCCGAAGCUAACGCGUUAAGUCGACCGCCUGGGGAGUACGGUCGCAAGGCUAAAACUCAAAUGAAUUGACGGGGGCCCGCACAAGCGGUGGAGCAUGUGGUUUAAUUCGAUGCAACGCGAAAAACCUUACCUGGUCUUGACAUCCACAGAAUUUUUCAGAGAUGAAAAAGUGCCUUAGGGAACUGUGAGACAGGUGCUGCAUGGCUGUCGUCAGCUCGUGUUGUGAAAUGUUGGGUUAAGUCCCGCAACGAGCGCAACCCUUAUCCUCUGUUGCCAUUGGUUCGGCCAGGAACUCAGAGGAGACUGCCGGUUAUAAACCGGAGGAAGGCGGGGACGACGUCAAGUCAUCAUGGCCCUUACGACCAGGGCUACACACGUGCUACAAUGGUGUAUACAAAGAGAAGCAACUCUGUAAAGACAAGCAAACCUCAUAAAGUACAUCGUAGUCCGGACUGGAGUCUGCAACUCGACUCACAGAGG
rnacentral:rRNA from 2 species